rnacentral:rRNA from 1 species
CCUACGGGAGGCAGCAGUGAGGAAUAUUGGUCAAUGGGCGCAAGCCUGAACCAGCCAUGCCGCGUGCGGGAUGACGGCUCUAUGGGUUGUAAACUGCUUUUGUACGAGGGUAAAAGCCGCUACGCGUAUAUGUCUGCAAGUACCGUACGAAUAAGGACCGGCUAAUUCCGUGCCAGCAGCCGCGGUAAUACGGAGGGUUCGAGCGUUAUCCGGAUUUAUUGGGUUUAAAGGGAGCGUAGGCGGGGGGGUAAGUCAGCGGUGAAAUGCCGCGGCUCAACCGGGCGAAGUGCAAUUGAUACUGGCCUGCUGGAAUGCGGAAGCGGGAGGAGGAAUGUGUGGUGUAGCGGUGAAAUGCAUAGAUAUCACGCAGAACACCGAUUGCGAAGGCAGCCCACG